UACGUAGGGUGCGAGCGUUGUCCGGAAUUAUUGGGCGUAAAGAGCUCGUAGGCGGUCUGUCGCGUCGAUCGUGAAAACUUGGGGCUUAACCCUGAGCUUGCGGUCGAUACGGGCAGACUUGAGUUCGGUAGGGGAGACUGGAAUUCCUGGUGUAGCGGUGAAAUGCGCAGAUAUCAGGAGGAACACCGGUGGCGAAGGCGGGUCUCUGGGCCGAUACUGACGCUGAGGAGCGAAAGCGUGGGGAGCGAACAGG
rnacentral:rRNA from 1 species